rnacentral:rRNA from 1 species
AGUGAACGCUGGCGGUAGGCCUAACACAUGCAAGUCGAACGGCAGCACAGUAAGAGCUUGCUCUUACGGGUGGCGAGUGGCGGACGGGUGAGGCAUACAUCGGAAUCUACUUUUUCGUGGGGGAUAACGUAGGGAAACUUACGCUAAUACCGCAUACGACCUACGGGUUAAAGCAGGGGAUCUUCGGACCUUGCGCGACUGAAUGAGCCGAUGUCGGAUGAGCUAGUUUGCUGGGUAAAGGCCCACCAAGGCAACGAUCCGUAGCUGGUCUGAGAGGAUGAUCGGCCACACUGGAACUGAGACACGGUCCAGACUACUACGGGAGGCAGCAGUGGGGAAUAUUGGACAAUGGGCGCAAGCCUGAUCCAGCCAUGCCGCGUGGGUGAAGAAGGCCUUCGGGUUGUAAAGCCCUUUUGUUGGGAAAGAAAAGAAGCAGGUUAAUACCCCGCUGUUCUGACGGUACCCAAAGAAUAAGCACCGGCUAACUUCGUG